CUUACACAUGCAAGUCGAACUGGCGGUCGANAGCUAGUGGCGGACGGGUGAGUAACGCGUGAGAAUCUGCCUUCAGGAGGGGGAUAACGAGUGGAAACGGGCGCGAGGUACCCAUAUGCCUCUGGGUGACAAGUAAUUCGCCUGAAGAUGAGCUCGCGUCAGAUUAGCUAGUUGGUGGGGUAAGAGCCUACCAAGGCGACGAUCUGUAGCUGGUCUGAGAGGAUGAUCAGCCACACUGGGACUGAGACACGGCCCAGACUCCUACGGGAGGCAGCAGUGGGGAAUUUUCCGCAAUGGGCGCAAGCCUGACGGAGCAAGACCGCGUGGGGGAUGACGGCCUAAUGGUUGUAAACCCCUUUUCUCUGGGAAGAAGACUGACGGUACCAGAGGAAUCAGCCUCGGCUAACUCCGUGCCAGCAGCCGCGGUAAUACGGAGGAGGCAAGCGUUAUCCGGAAUUAUUGGGCGUAAAGCGUCCGUAGGUGGUUAUUCAAGUCUGCUGUCAAAGCGUGGGGCUUAACUCCAUAGAGGCAGUGGAAACUGAGUGACUAGAGUGCGGUAGGGGUCGAGGGAAUUCCCAGUGUAGCGGUGAAAUGCGUAGAUAUUGGGAAGAACACCCAGUGGCGAAAGCGCUCGACUGGGCCUGCACUGACACUGAGGGACGAAAGCUAAGGGGAGCGAAAGGGAUUAGAUACCCCUGUAGUCCUAGCCGUAAACGAUGGAUACUAGGUGUUGCUCG
rnacentral:rRNA from 1 species